GCAUCUCUGAAAACAUGGUGAGCAGCGGCUAAAGGAGGCUUCAGCUUUGGUUUCAUCUUCUUUGGUAAACUGAAAUAAUCAAUUGUAUUGAAUCGAAUCAAUUCAUAAAUUUAAUUUGAUUUUAAAUUUUUUCAAAUCAGUUCAAUUUUAAUUUUUUAAAAAUUAAUAAUUUAAUUUGAUUUAAUUUUUUUAAUAAUUAUCAAAAUUAUAUAUUAAAUCUUAAUUGAAAUUAACAUAUUUUAAUUGAAUCAUAAAAUAUUUAAUAUAAAAAAUAAAAAGUUUAUUUAAAAAAUUCAAUUGAGUCAAUACAAUUUAAAUUAAUUUUUUCAAUUUAAUUUAAUUUUUAUAAAUAUUUAAAUUUUAAUUCGAUUUUGAUUCUGUCUCACUCCUAUCUUUGGUUAAAAAACGAGGAGAAGGCAGAAAGACAAAGAUGACCCUGAAACAGUUUAAUGUCUUUUGAUUUGAUUUGGUUUAUAAUGGCAGUGGAGAUUUGUUGGCUAAUGGUUGUGUCUCGGGAAUGACAGAGACCAGAGUGGGAAGGGAUAGGUUACGCCAUUGAAGGAAAGGAAGGGUAAAAAGGUAAAAUGAGAACAAAACGACAGCCGGUUGGGUUGUAAGGUUGUAGGUAAGGCCUAGGCUUUGGGAAUUGAAGUGAGAAGCUGAUGGAUUUGCAGAGAUGCUAAUAUGUGUAUGUGUAUGAAGUAAUUGAAUUUGUGUUUGUGUGUGUGAGCUUCUCAGCUGUGAAGAAGAUGGUGCCAGUUGGGUUUUUUUUUUUCAAAAAAAUCUUUGAUGGCCUUGGCUAUGAGGUAAGUCAAGGGACCAAUAAAACCUUUGACAUUGUUUUCUCACGGAAUAUGUGCUUUGAUUUGGUCUUAUAACUUUGCAUGCACUAGUUUUGUUUUUAUU
rnacentral:lncRNA from 1 species